rnacentral:rRNA from 1 species
AUGGCGACGCUCGCCCUGCCGCCUACCGCCGCCACCCUGCCCGCCCAGGAAGACCCACGCACGAGCGAGAAGCCAUCUGCCGACGACUCUGCCGCGGAUCCGAGCGAUAUCGACUCCGGGUGGGUUUUCCUCGGGAAAUCUGAUGUGGUUCCGGCGGACCAGGCCGCGGCCGCCGUCGACGCCGCGGGCCGCCGGCGCCUCGGCUUCUCGCCGCUGCCGAUGUUGCCUAUCUGGGUACAGAUGGUGCUCGGAGGCGUCGUCUACACGGCCGUGCCGUUCUACAUGAGGGCCAGGCAGAUCGAAGACAAGGCGAUCGAAAACGUGGAAACUGCUUUGGACGUUUUGGAGCGGGCCUCUGAGGUGACGGAGAAGUUUGCUGCUAAUGUGGCCAAUUCCCUACCGGAGGAUGGGUCCCUGCACAAGUUGGCCGAGGAGCUUGAGUACAUUGCGGAGGAAGUCGAUAAGGAUGCACAGAAGGCUGAAGUCAUGAUUAAGAAGAUUGAAGCGCUCAGCGACAAGAUCGACGCCGCGGUGGAGCCUGUCAUCGAAAAUCUCGAGGAGGAGUUCAAGCCAAACCCAGCAUCCCACGCUGGAUCAGACGCCCAGAAAUGA